UCCUGCUCAAUGGUUUAACUAAAUAGCCGCAGUACCUUGACUGUGCAAAGGUAGCAUAAUCAUUUGGCUUAUAAUUGAAGUCUAGCAUGAACGGGUUAAUGGAUAAUAACUGUCUUACCAUAACAAUCUGAAUUUACUUAUUAAGUGAAAAUUCUUAUAAAGAAAAAAUAGACGAGAAGACCCUAGAAAUUUUAUAUACAUAAAGUAAAGUAAUCUAUUUUGUUGGGGCGACAGGGUAGCAAUUAACCUACCUAUAAAUAAUAAACAAUUAUUGUAAAACGUAACUAAAUUACUCUAGGGAUAACAGCAUAAUACAAAAGAGUUUGUGACCUCGAUGUUGGACUAGGUAAGUUAAUGUUUAGAAGAUGUUAA
rnacentral:rRNA from 1 species